rnacentral:rRNA from 1 species
ACGCUCGACACCUACGGGAGCAGCAGUGGGGAAUAUUGCACAAUGGGGGAAACCCUGAUGCAGCGACGCCGCGUGAGCGAAGAAGUAUUUCGGUAUGUAAAGCUCUAUCAGCAGGGAAGAAACUGACGGUACCUGACUAAGAAGCACCGGCUAAAUACGUGCCAGNCGCGGUAGUAUNGNGGCGUGNGAGAG